ACUCAAAGGAAUAGACGGGGGCCCGCACAAGCGGUGGAGCAUGUGGUUUAAUUCGAAGCAACGCGAAGAACCUUACCAGGUCUUGACAUCUCCCUGAACGGUGUAGAGAUACACUUUUCCUUCGGGACAGGGAAGACAGGUGGUGCAUGGUUGUCGUCAGCUCGUGUCGUGAGAUGUUGGGUUAAGUCCCGCAACGAGCGCAACCCUUAUGUUUAGUUGCCAUCAUUAAGUUGGGCACUCUAGACAGACUGCCGUGGAGAACACGGAGGAAGGUGGGGAUGACGUCAAAUCAUCAUGCCCCUUAUGACCUGGGCUACACACGUGCUACAAUGGGUGGUACAACGAGUCGCAACCUAGCGAUAGGACGCUAAUCUCUUAAAACCAUUCUCAGUUCGGAUUGUAGGCUGCAACUCGCCUACAUGAAGUCGGAAUCGCUAGUAAUCGCGGAUCAGCACGCCGCGGUGAAUACGUUCCCGGGCCUUGUACACACCGCCCGU
rnacentral:rRNA from 1 species